CGGGUACUGUCCAAAACUUCACCUGCAUAGCAGAAAAUACAGCUGUUGGACGUUCUGCUGAGGCCACCAAGAUGGUAGAAGUUAAAGGUGUUCCUGUCUCUGGUUCAGAGGCUGUGCCGCUCUGUGGACUGUUAACAAUGAUCGUCAGCGUGGGACUGCUGGUGCUUUUUGAUCCAUAGAGCUUAAACCUUUUUAAGCUUUAAUGGUUGUUUUUGCUGUUUUUGAAAUGUAUUUAUUUGCCUUUCUCUCUCCCAUAACACUAUGUUUAGUUUACAAUAUAAUAAUGAUAUAAUCUUCAUUCAUAAACCGCUUCUCAAAACAGAGUUACAAAGUGCUUUACAUGUCAAUAAUUAAAACAGACAAGGCAUGAAAACUUUUAAAAGAACUAAUAAAAACACAUGGUAUUUAAAAACUUAGGAAAUGACAGUCUAAAUGAACUUAAAACUUAAGUAGGAUCAGGGAAGGCUCUCUGAUUUUAAGUAUUUUUUAAGAAGGGACUUAAUCACUGACUCUAGGCUGUUCCAGUACAUCCUGGUGUGUACGGCACUACCAGGUCGGAGACAUAACUGGGAGAGGGACCAUGAAGAGCCUUAAAAGUAAUCAGUAAAACCUUAAAAUCUAUUCUACAACAUACUGGGAGCCAGUGUAAGGAGGCUAAAGCUGGAGGGGUGCUAUCAUGUUUAAACACACUGGUUUUUCCAUUUUAAUACACCAGCUUCAUGUCUUCAUCAAAUAUUGUGUACCAUGAAAUCCUGUAAAUAUGAGUAACAAAAUAACUGUUUUAUUAAGUCAUGAAACAAAUUGAAAUGAAA